CAGUCGCCGCGGGAAUACAGAGGGUGCGAGCGUUAAUCGGAUUUACUGGGCGUAAAGCGUGCGUAGGCGGCUUCUUAAGUCGGAUGUGAAAUCCCUGAGCUUAACUUAGGAAUUGCAUUCGAUACUGGGAAGCUAGAGUAUGGGAGAGGAUGGUAGAAUUCCAGGUGUAGCGGUGAAAUGCGUAGAGAUCUGGAGGAAUACCGAUGGCGAAGGCAGCCAUCUGGCCUAAUACUGACGCUGAGGUACGAAAGCAUGGGGAGCAAACAGGAUUAGAUACCCCAGUAGUUCCUGUCUCUUAUAC
rnacentral:rRNA from 1 species